AUCGGGGGCACGAUGGAUGCACUUGGUGGAGCAGCAUCCUUGGUUGGGUCCGGGGUGGGGCUGGUGGGUACAGGGAUUGGAGCUGGUGGGUACGGGCGUUGGAGCUGGUAGGUUCAGGCCUUGGAGCUGGCGCUGGGUUGGUAGGAAGCGGACUUGGUGCUGUGGGCAGUGGUCUGAGCAAAGCUGGAAAGUUCAUGGGUAAAACUGUGACAAACCAGUUCAGCAGUGCUAGGAGAAACGGUAGCAGCACCCAAGGAGGUCAGGGACAGGGAGAACGAAAUGGAAGCUAAACCAGGCGACCGCCGCUUCUUGACUGGUCCAUUGUUUAUCUUCCUCGAUUUGUAUGUUUUGUUUUGGGUAGAAGCAUGUUAAUAGAGCAGUAAGAAUGCUUAAGUGAUUUUUCUUUUUCUUUUCUUUACUGGGGUUACAUUCUGAUGUGAUGUGAACUAUUUGAUGAUGCAAGAGAUUUAUGUCAGUUAGAUCCAUCCUUAAAGAUAGGCUCUGAUAGAAAAGAAAGACAGAAAAGGAAAAAAAAAAAAAGCGUCAUAGAAUGUGCAAGCAUGCAG
rnacentral:lncRNA from 1 species